GGAAAUGAUAGCAGAGAUGUUAAGUGACUUGCCCAAAGUCACAUAGUGAGUGGCAGGAAUAUAUGAUAAUUUGACAGUUGUUUUGACAUGGGACCAUUUUAGAGUCCUAAAAAAUGAGUUAUUGAACUUUUAUCUGUUCUUAGUUUUAACUAAUGUGUGCAACAGACUUGAGUGUCAUCCUCUAUAUAACUAAAUCACUUUAGUGUUAGGCUCAAGGAGGGGGCUGGGGUGGGUGAGGCACAGACACUUGCUGCCAGAGCAUGUGUAACCAGCAGUCCUUUGUUCACCACACCUGCUUCAAUCAUUGUUAGGAAACCUAACAAUGUCUAUUACAGUCUCUCCUAG
ensembl:lincRNA